AUGAACAUUGAACGUGACUUGCACAUAGCCAAAGGCGAAGGAGAGACUAGCUACGUGAACAACUCAAGGCUUCAGCAAAAAGCUUUGCUUGAGACAGAGGUGGUGCUUGAGAAGGCCGUGAGAGAAGUGUGCAUGGAUAUCCACCAGCCAACAAUGACUUCUGUUGAUUUAGGGUGCUCUUCUGGUCAGAACACACUCUUCUUCGUCUCCAAGGUGAUCAAGGUGGUAGGCCGUGAUAAUGAUGAAAAAUCUAGGUGCAACUCCGUGGAGCUCCAGUUCUUUCUCAAUGAUCUACCAGGAAAUGACUUCAAUCAUGUCUUCCGUUCGCUCGAACGGUUCAAAGAGUCGAUAACAGCAGAACAUAAAGAAAAUACACUGCUACCAGCUUUCUAUAUCGCUGGGUUACCAGGCUCCUACUACACUAGGCUUUUCCCUCGUCAGAGUUGCCACCUCUUUCACUCGUCAUUUUGCCUCCAUUGGCGUUCUCGGGGUCUGCUGAAGAAGGAAAAGCUCGACUCCUUCAAUCUCCCCGUUUACACGCCAUCGAUCAAUGAAGUGAAGGCAGUAGUCACGCAAAAUGAGUUGUUCAAUGUGAGCCACAUCAAAUUGUUCGAGUCCAACUGGGAUCCUCAUGAUGACUCACAAGGGGAUGAUGCACACAACACCAUUCAGAGUGCAAUUAACAUCGCACAGAGCUUGAGGGCGGUGUUCGGACCCCUACUUGCAAGCCAUUUCGGUGAAUCCUUGCUCAAUGAGAUAUUCAAGAAAUGUGCAUACUAUGUCACGGGGCACCUUGCUGAGAGGGGAGAAGGCAAGUAUCUUCUCAUCUGCGUGUCCCUAAAAAGAACAUAA
rnacentral:rRNA from 1 species